GUGGUUCAGUUGGUAGAGCAUGGCGUUUGCAACGCCAGGAUUGUGGGUUUGAUUCCCGGGCCCACC
rfam:Salmo salar isolate Sally breed double haploid chromosome ssa01, whole genome shotgun sequence.